rnacentral:rRNA from 1 species
CGCAUCUGUGCAUGCAGCAUAUCAAUAAGCGGAGGAAAAGAAACUAACAAGGAUUCCCCUAGUAACGGCGAGUGAAGCGGGAAGAGCUCAAAUUUGAAAUCUUAAAGGGUUUCCCUUUACGAAUUGUAGUUUAAAGAAGUGUUUUCUGUUGAGGUUUUGGUAAAAGUUCUUUGGAAUAGGACAUCAUAGAGGGUGAGAAUCCCGUAUUUGACCUUUACUUUCAACUUUGUGAUACACUUUCAAAGAGUCGGAUUGUUUGGGAAUGCAGUCCAAAAUGGGUGGUAAAUUUCAUCUAAAGCUAAAUAUUGGCGAGAGACCGAUAGCGAACAAGUACCGUGAGGGAAAGGAUGAAAAGAACUUUGAAAAGAGAGUUAAACAGUACGUGAAAUUGUCAAAAGGGAAGCGUUUGACACCAGUGUUGUUUUUCUGAAAAUCAAUUAAAGAACUGUUUAUGCUAAGUUGUUUAGACUUUAUCAGCUAUCUGUUUAGUUUUAGGCUUUUCUUUAAUGCACUUUUCAGUUAACAAGUCAACAUCAGUUUCUUUUGCUGUAAAAAAGCUUGAGGAAGGUGGCUUGAGAUUCGUCUUAAGUGUUUAUAGCCUCUUGCCUAUGCAGUCGGAGAGAUUGAGGUCUGCAGCGUAGAUCCUUCGGGGCUAAAUGCAUUUGUGCUAAGUUAUAGCAUUUUAUAGACAACUUGUUGACUAUGAUUUGUCUUGUAGCUUACUCGCUUAUGUUAUUUUACCUACGCUUAGGAUGUUGACAGCAGUAUAGACUGUACACGCUGUGACUAGCAUAUCAAUAAGCGGAGGAAAAGAGGGCUAUUACCUACGCUUAGGAUGUUGACGAGACUGUCGAUCUCAUCUAUACAUGACUCUGUGCAUAUCAAUAAGCGGAGGAAAAGGCUGUGGAACUGAGCGACCGCUACCUACGCUUAGGAUGUUGACAGCAGUAUAGACUGU